AUUGAACGCUGGCGGCAGGCCUAACACAUGCAAGUCGAACGGUAACAGGAAGCAGCUUGCUGCUUCGCUGACGAGUGGCGGACGGGUGAGUAAUGUCUGGGAAACUGCCUGAUGGAGGGGGAUAACUACUGGAAACGGUAGCUAAUACCGCAUAACGUCGCAAGACCAAAGAGGGGGACCUUAGGGCCUCUUGCCAUCGGAUGUGCCCAGAUGGGAUUAGCUAGUAGGUGGGGUAACGGCUCACCUAGGCGACGAUCCCUAGCUGGUCUGAGAGGAUGACCAGCCACACUGGAACUGAGACACGGUCCAGACUCCUACGGGAGGCAGCAGUGGGGAAUAUUGCACAAUGGGCGCAAGCCUGAUGCAGCCAUGCCGCGUGUAUGAAGAAGGCCUUCGGGUUGUAAAGUACUUUCAGCGGGGAGGAAGGGAGUAAAGUUAAUACCUUUGCUCAUUGACGUCACCCGCAGAAGAAGCACCGGCUAACUCCGUG
rnacentral:rRNA from 1 species